GGGUCAGAAGGUUGGUCGUGCCACCGGUACGUACUGGUCUCACUGAUUCCUCCUUCCUGAAGAACCGUAAUGCCAUUAAUUUGGUGUUGCGGGGAAACAGGACUGUUACUUUGAAAAAAUUAGAGUGUUUAAAGCAAGCUAACGCUUGAAUACAUUAGCAUGGAAUAAUGAAAUAGGACGAUCGAUCCUAUUAUGUUGGUUUCUAGGAUUGACGUA
rnacentral:rRNA from 1 species